rnacentral:misc_RNA from 1 species
CAACCCUCGGACCCCCGUGGCCUCGCGCCCCGGGGGACCGGUGUUGGGGAUCGGGCUGCCCUUCGUAGGCGGUCCGCCCCCUAAAUACAGUGGCGGGCCCGCCGCGGCCUCCCCUGCGUAGUAGCACACCUCGCAGGCGGAGCGCGGCGCGUCCCAGCCGUAAAACCCCCCAAAUUUUACAA